rnacentral:rRNA from 1 species
GUAGGGAAUAUUGCACAAUGGGGGAAACCCUGAUGCAGCGACGCCGCGUGAGUGAUGAAGGCCUUCGGGUCGUAAAGCUCUGUCGUAUGGGACUAACACAAUGAAGGUACCAUGCAAGAAAGGAUCGGCUAGCUUCGUGCCAGCAGCCGCGGUAAGACGAGGGAUCCUAGCGUUGUUCGGAAUCAUUGGGCGUAAAGCGGGUGUAGGCGGAUUUAUAAGUCAGGUGUGAAAUCCCAGGGCUCAACCCUGGAAGUGCACUUGAUACUGUAAAUCUUGAGUGUGGUAGAGGUUACUGGAAUUGUUGGUGUAGUGGUGAAAUACGUAGAUAUCAACAGGAAUACCGGAGGCGAAGGCGAGUAACUGGGCCAACACUGACGCUGAGACCCGAAAGCGUGGGGAUCAAACAGGAUUAGAUACCCGUGUAGUCC